rnacentral:lncRNA from 1 species
AUGCACCCUUCUUGGCCGGAUCCAGCCCGACCCUUCCCCUUUGUCCUGCCGAGCGGCCCCCUGGGACGGGACCUGGCUGCAAGGCGGCCUUGGAGCCCUGCCUCCCCUCUGUCUGCCCAGGUAAUAACUCAGCCGGCGCUGGGCGGCCGCGGGGACACGUGCACUGGGCUUUCUGUGCCCUGCACAGCCCUUCCGCUCUCUCCCGGCCCCUGCCCCGUGACCCCCCGAGUGGGCACAGCUGGGGUCACGUCCAGGGUGGGGCCUCCGCCUGAGGGCCAGGAGGGGAGGGGCUCCGGGACCCCAGCCCUGCCCUCAAGCCCCCACACUCGGCUUUCCUGGCUCCCAGCCCUGCCUUCUGCCGCCGGCCGAGUGGGGCUGACAGGGUCCCUCCGUCAGAGAUGCUCCCGCAAGGGGGAAACCGACUCCACCCCUGGGCGCGCCCCCCCCCCCCGGCCCCCCCCCCCCCCCCCCCCCGCGCACCUUCCUCGGUGCCCUGGCUCUCCGAGAAGCCCAAACCGCAGGCCAGAAGGUCCGGCCCGUGGUGGGGAGGCAGGGGACAGGUCACAGCCAGCCAGCCCCUUCCUACCGCCCAGCCUCGGUUUCCCCUCAAGCUGGCUCAGACCAGGGCUGUGCUCGACGCCCCGCCAGCCCUCUCUGGGCUGGCCGCCAGGGUUGGAGCGGGCCUGCCAGGCCCCCGCCAGCAGCCCAGGCCCCCCACCGUGGGGCAGGGGGAGCAGCUGCCCGCCGGGUUCCAGGGAGCCCCAAAACCCAGGCCUCCUUGCCCAUAAAUGUUUACUAGGCUAUGAGGGGCUGACAUCAUCCCCGGCCCCCUGCAGACCCCGUGGGGACAGCCUCCAGCCAGAGCGUUCAGUCCCCCCUAUCCGCCAGGAGCCUCCACCCCCUGCCCCGCAGCCCCCACCUACACGGGGCAGUGGAGGACCUUGCCCUGAAUUGACGAAGCCGUUCCCAGCCCGAGCCAUGUGGACCAGGACAGGGAGGAACUCAGAGAGGGAGCCGGGCCUCCCUGCGGGCCGGGAGGGCUUCCUGGAGGAGGCAAGGCUGGGCCGGGCAGCCCGAGGCCAAAGAGGUCUUUCCAGAUGCGCACAAGGGGCAGGCCCCGGCAAAGGCCACAGCGAGAUCAAGGCCUGGCAUGGGAGAGGGCACGGCGGGCGAGCGACAGGAGCCACAUCCCAAGGCCUUGGGCACACGCUCCCCCAGGCCCGGCCCUGCAGACACACUGCCCACCGGCCUCACCGGGGGAGGCGGAAGGGAGCCACGAGCCUCGCCCCUGCCAGGAGGGCUCGUUUAUCCUCACAGCCGCUAAGCAAGCUGUGCACAUUCGUCCUGGUGACAGAGAAGGAAACUGAGGCCAGCGGGAGAUGGGAGGGCACGGCUCACUCACGGGGGGAGGGCGGGCCCCUGGCACUCGUUCUGUUAUGA